rnacentral:rRNA from 1 species
UACGUAGGUGGCAAGCGUUGUCCGGAUUUAUUGGGCGUAAAGCGAGCGCAGGCGGUUCCUUAAGUCUGAUGUGAAAGCCCACGGCUCAACCGUGGAAGGUCAUUGGAAACUGGGGAACUUGAGUGCAGAAGAGGAGAGUGGAAUUCCAUGCGUAGCGGUGAAAUGCGUAGAUAUAUGGAGGAACACCAGUGGCGAAGGCGACUCUCUGGUCUGUAACUGACGCUGAGGCUCGAAAGCGUGGGGAGCAAACAGGAUUAGA